UACUGCCUUGGAGUGGGGAAUAACGGCUGGAAACAGCCGCUAAUACCGCAUGAUGCAUCUGAGUCGCAUGGUUUGGAUGCCAAAGAUUUAUCGCUCUGAGAUGAGCUCGCGUCUGAUUAGCUAGUUGGCGGGGUAACGGCCCACCAAGGCGACGAUCAGUAGCCGGACUGAGAGGUUGGCCGGCCACAUUGGGACUGAGACACGGCCCAGACUCCUACGGAAGGCAGCAG
rnacentral:rRNA from 1 species